rnacentral:tRNA from 1 species
GAGGGUAUAGAUCAGUGGUGGAGUGCAUGCUUAGCAUGCACGAGGUCCUGGGUUCAAUCCUCAGUACCUCCA